rnacentral:rRNA from 1 species
AGAAUCAACGCUGGCGGCGUGCCUAACACAUGCAAGUCGAACGAGAAAGUCUCCGCAAGGGGAUGAGUAAAGUGGCGACCGGGUGAGUAACACGUAGCUAACCUACCCUCGAGUGGGGGAUAACCUGGGGAAACCUGGGCUAAUACCGCAUAAGAUCCUGAUGGCUAAGUCGUUGGGAGAAAAGGCGCAAGUCGCCGGAGGAGGGGGUCGCGGCUGAUUAGCUAGUUGGCGGGGUAACGGCCCACCAAGGCUUUGAUCAGUAGCCGGCCUGAGAGGGCGCACGGCCACACUGGAACUGAAACACGGUCCAGACUCCUACGGGAGGCAGCAGUGGGGAAUUUUGCGCAAUGGGGGAAACCCUGACGCAGCAACGCCGCGUGGAGGAUGAAGUCCCUUGGGACGUAAACUCCUUUCGACCGGGACGAAUAAUGACGGUACCGGUGGAAGAAGCCCCGGCUAACUUCGUGCCAGCAGCCGCGGUAAUACGAGGGGGGCGAGCGUUGUUCGGAAUUAUUGGGCGUAAAGGGCGCGUAGGCGGCGCGGUAAGUCUUCUGUGAAAUUCCCGGGCUCAACUCGGGGCCUGCAGAGGAAACUGCCGGGCUCGAGUGUGGGAGAGGCGAGUGGAAUUCCCGGUGUAGCGGUGAAAUGCGUAGAUAUCGGGAGGAACACCAGUGGCGAAGGCGGCUCGCUGGACCACAACUGACGCUGAGGCGCGAAAGCUAGGGUAGCAAACAGGAUUAGAUACCCUGGUAGUCCUAGCCUUAAACGAUGAAUGCUUGGUGUGAUCGGUAUCCAAUCCGAUUGUGCCGCAGCUAACGCGAUAAGCAUUCCGCCUGGGGAGUACGGUCGCAAGGCUGAA